AGUGAAAUUGCUGGGUCAUAUGGUAAGUGUAAGCUUUGAUUUAUAAGAAACUGCCAAAGUGUUUUCCAAAGAGGUUCUAUCAUUUUAUAUUCCUAUCAGCAAU
rnacentral:pre_miRNA from 1 species